AUCACUUCUUGUCCUUUUGGCUAAGGUGAAGUGUGUUACCUUUUCUUCUCAGUUUAAUGUCAGGUACAUGGUCUGUUUGAGGACAACAUACUAAGUGGACUUUUGGAGCUAGACAGAGUGGAAGCUUUCUCUGAUCACUCCAUGCAGCAACACUGGGGAACUCCUC
rnacentral:snRNA from 14 species